GGUCAAGCGAACAAGUGCAUGUGGUGGAUGCCUUGGCGAUCACAGGCGAUGAAGGACGCGGUAGCCUGCGAAAAGCGACGGGGAGCUGGCAAACGAGCUUCGAUCCGUCGAUAUCCGAAUGGGGAAACCCGGCCCUUCUGGGUCAUCCUGAGCUGAAUACAUAGGCUCAGUGAAGCGAACGCGGUGAACUGAAACAUCUAAGUAACCGCAGGAAAAGAAAUCAACCGAGAUUCCCAAAGUAGUGGCGAGCGAAAUGGGAUCAGCCUGUACUCUUUAUCACGACCGUUAGCCGAACACUCUGGAAAGUGUGGCCAUAGCAGGUGAUAGCCCUGUAGGCGAAAGCGGAUGUGUGGAACUAGGUGUACGACAAGUAGGGCGGGGCACGUGAAAUCCUGUCUGAAGAUGGGGGGACCAUCCUCCAAGGCUAAAUACUCGUGAUCGACCGAUAGUGAACCAGUACCGUGAGGGAAAGGCGAAAAGAACCCCGGGAGGGGAGUGAAAUAGACCCUGAAACCGCAUGCAUACAAACAGUCGGAGCCUCGCAAGGGGUGACGGCGUACCUUUUGUAUAAUGGGUCAGCGACUUACGUUCAGUAGCAAGCUUAACUGAUUAAGGCAGGCGUAGCGAAAGCGAGUCCGAAUAGGGCGUUCAGUUGCUGGGCGUAGACCCGAAACCAAGUGAUCUAUCCAUGGCCAGGUUGAAGGUGCGGUAACACGUACUGGAGGACCGAACCCAC
rnacentral:rRNA from 1 species